GACGGUAUAGUUCAGUGGUAGAGCGUGUGCUUAGCAUGCGUGAAGUCUGGGUUCAAUCCCCAGUACUUCCA
rnacentral:tRNA from 1 species